rnacentral:misc_RNA from 1 species
AAGUCGUAACAAGGUAUCUGUAGGUGAACCUGCAGAUGGAUCAUUUCGAUGAAAACCUUUUUCUUGAGGUGUGGCUCGCACCUGUCUAACUAAACUUGAGCUACCUUUUUUCAACACGGUUGCAUCGGUUGGCCUGUCAAACAGUGCGGCGGUCGCGAAUUUAUUUUCGCACCUGCCAAACUAGGCGACGGACCGACACUUUUACCAAACACUUUUGAUGAUCUAGGAUUUGAAUGAUAAAAGUUCAUUUUUAAUAAUGAAAUCGACUGGUAAUGCGGUCGUCUAAUUUUAAAAACAACUUUUGGCAACGGAUCUCUUGGUUCUCC